GGCGGACGGUGAGUAACGCGUAGAAUGUACCCCAAAGUGAGGAAUAACUGCCCGAAAGGGUAGCUAAUGCCGCAUGUGAUCCACGGAUUAAAGCUUUAUGCGCUUUGGGAACGGCCUGCGUCUGAUUAGCUUGUUGGUGAGGUAAAAGCUCACCAAGGCGACGAUCGGUAGCUGGUCUGAGAGGAUGAUCAGCCAGACUGGGACUGAGACACGGCCCAGACUCCUACGGGAGGCAGCAGUAGGGAAUUUUCCACAAUGGGCGAAAGCCUGAUGGAGCAACGCCGCGUGCAGGAUGAAGGCCUUCGGGUUGUAAACUGUUUUCUCCGUGACGAUUAUGACGGUAGCAGAGGAAUCAGGAUCGGUAAACUCCGUGCCA
rnacentral:rRNA from 1 species